rnacentral:rRNA from 1 species
GUGGUUAAUUCGAUGAUACGCGAGGAACCGUUACCUGGGCUCGAACGUAAGAUGACUGUAGGUGAAAGCUUACAUCUCUUCGGAGCAUUUUACGAGGUGCUGCAUGGUUGUCGUCAGCUCGUGCCGUGAGGUGUCGGGUUAAGUCCCAUAACGAGCGCAACCCUACCUUUAGUUGCCAUCAGGUAAUGCUGGGGACUCUAAAGGAACUGCCUACGCAAGUAGUGAGGAAGCGGGGAUGACGUCAAAUCAGCACGGCCCUUACGUCCAGGGCUACACACGUGCUACAAUGGCCGAUACAGAGGGCAGCUACCUGGUGACAGGAUGCAAAUCUCCAAAGUCGGUCUCAGUUCGGAUCGGAGUCUGCAACCCGACUCCGUGAAGUUGGAUUCGCUAGUAAUCGCGCAUCAGCCAUGGCGCGGUGAAUACGUUCCCGGGCCUU